ACUCCAGCCCUCCAGAUGUUUGGGACUACAGUUCCCAUCAUCCCUGACUACUGGUCCUGUUAGCUAGGGAUGGUGGGAAUUGUAGUCCCAAACCUCUGGAGGGCUGGAGU